GGAGGAAAAGAAACUAACAAGGAUUCCCCUAGUAGCGGCGAGUGAAGCGGGAAGAGCUCAAAUUUGUAAUCUGGCGUCCUUCGGGCGUCCGAGUUGUAAUCUAUAGAAGUGUUUUCCGUGCCGGACCAUGUCCAAGUCCCUUGGAACAGGGUAUCAAAGAGGGUGACAAUCCCGUACUUGACAUGACCACCGGUGCUCUGUGAUACACUUUYUACGAGUCGAGUUGUUUGGGAAUGCAGCUCAAAAUGGGUGGUAAAUUCCAUCUAAAGCUAAAUAUUGGCGAGAGACCGAUAGCGAACAAGUACCGUGAGGGAAAGAUGAAAAGCACUUUGGAAAGAGAGUUAAACAGUACGUGAAAUUGUUGAAAGGGAAACGAUUGAAGUCAGUCGUGUUCUUUGGACUCAGCCGGUUCUUCCGGUCUAUUUCCUUUGAACGGGUCAACAUCAGUUUUGUCCGGUGGAUAAAGGCAGGAAGAAAGUGGCUCCCUCGGGAGUGUUAUAGCUUUCUGUCACAUACACUGGAGGAGACUGAGGACUGCAGCUCGCCUUUUGGCCGGGGUUCGCCCACGUUCGAGCUUAAGAUGUUGACAUAAUGGCUUUAAACGACCCGUCUG
rnacentral:rRNA from 1 species